rnacentral:rRNA from 1 species
GCUGGCGGCAGGCCUAACACAUGCAAGUCGAACGGCAGCACAGUAAGAGCUUGCUCUUAUGGGUGGCGAGUGGCGGACGGGUGAGGAAUACAUCGGAAUCUACUCUUUCGUGGGGGAUAACGUAGGGAAACUUACGCUAAUACCGCAUACGACCUACGGGUGAAAGCGGAGGACCUUCGGGCUUCGCGCGAUUGAAUGAGCCGAUGUCGGAUUAGCUAGUUGGCGGGGUAAAGGCCCACCAAGGCGACGAUCCGUAGCUGGUCUGAGAGGAUGAUCAGCCACACUGGAACUGAGACACGGUCCAGACUCCUACGGGAGGCAGCAGUGGGGAAUAUUGGACAAUGGGCGCAAGCCUGAUCCAGCCAUGCCGCGUGGGUGAAGAAGGCCUUCGGGUUGUAAAGCCCUUUUGUUGGGAAAGAAAAGCAGUCGGUUAAUACCCGGUUGUUCUGACGGUACCCAAAGAAUAAGCACCGGCUAACUUCGUGCCAGCAGCCGCGGUAAUACGAAGGGUGCAAGCGUUACUCGGAAUUACUGGGCGUAAAGCGUGCGUAGGUGGUGGUUUAAGUCUGUUGUGAAAGCCCUGGGCUCAACCUGGGAAUUGCAGUGGAUACUGGAUCACUAGAGUGUGGUAGAGGGUAGCGGAAUUCCCGGUGUAGCAGUGAAAUGCGUAGAGAUCGGGAGGAACAUCCGUGGCGAAAGCGGCUACCUGGACCAACACUGACACUGAGCACGAAAGCGUGGGNAGCAAACAGGAUUAGAUACCCUGGUAGUCACGCCCUAAACGAUGCGAACUGGAUGUUGGGUGCAAUUUGGCACGCAGUAUCGAAGCUAACGCGUUAAGUUCGCCGCCUGGGGAGUACGGUCGCAAGACUGAAACUCAAAGGAAUUGACGGGGGCCCGCACAAGCGGUGGAGUAUGUGGUUUAAUUCGAUGCAACGCGAAGAACCUUACCUGGUCUUGACAUCCACGGAACUUUCCAGAGAUGGAUUGGUGCCUUCGGGAACCGUGAGACAGGUGCUGCAUGGCUGUCGUCAGCUCGAGUCGUGAGAUGUUGGGUUAAGUCCCGCAACGAGCGCAACCCUUGUCCUUAGUUGCCAGCACGUUAUGGUGGGAACUCUAAGGAGACCGCCGGUGACAAACCGGAGGAAGGUGGGGAUGACGUCAAGUCAUCAUGGCCCUUACGACCAGGGCUACACACGUACUACAAUGGUAGGGACAGAGGGCUGCAAACCCGCGAGGGCAAGCCAAUCCCAGAAACCCUAUCUCAGUCCGGAUUGGAGUCUGCAACUCGACUCCAUGAAGUCGGAAUCGCUAGUAAUCGCAGAUCAGCAUUGCUGCGGUGAGUACGUUCCCGGGCCUUGUACACACCGCCCGUCACACCAUGGGAGUUUGUUGCACCAGAAGCAGGUAGCUUAACCUUCGGGAGGGCGCUUGCCACGGUGUGGCCGAUGACUGGGGUGAAGUCGUAACAAGGUAACCAAGGGC